ACCUGUGUCUUGUCCCUUCCCCUAUUUAAGCCCUGACCUGUCACUCCAUUGUGCCAGUUUGUAAUGUUCUGUUGUAUUGUGUUGUUCUUUUCAGCAAUUCCUUGUGCCUGCCCACAUGUGUACUGAACUUGAUUUAAGUCUUUGAGUUUCACUGAUGUCUGUAUCCAGUCAUGAAUUUGGACUCUGCUCACUGUGGCCAAACAGUUGUGCCACUUUGUGGAAGUCAGAAAAGACCAUCACCACUGCAGGUCAACAAAAACAAGAUGUUCAGUGGCUGGUGCAGAAUUCGAAAAAGUACCAAUAUGUACCAGUAAUUCCGUCAGACUUUCAACAGCACGCAAAUACUCUGGGUUAAACAAGGUAAUGAUCUGAAUGUCUCUGCUAAAAGCUGAAAAGCAGAUUGCAGCUGUGUGCCCACUUGAGACCAAAUCAUCUCAUUGCGUAUCAUGCAUUGAGAUUCAACAGCCGUCAGUCACCCCUGGCAAAACUCCAGACAUGAGCCUCAGUGGCCGUGAACAGAGCGUUGUUAAAAUCACACCCCACUGUGGUUGCAAACAUUAUCAGGUUUCUCACCCCCAAUUUUCCAACUGCUUGCUGCUUUUGCUUUGAUGUUUUACAUUAAUCGCACUUGUUUCCUGAAUAAGAAACACUUUGUACUUGGACAUGAACACAAAUAAAC